rnacentral:rRNA from 1 species
CCUACGGGAGGCAGCAGUGAGGAAUAUUGGUCAAUGGGCGGGAGCCUGAACCAGCCAAGUAGCGUGAAGGAUGACUGCCCUACGGUUUGUAAACUUCUUUUAUAAAGGAGUAAAGUGAUGCACGUGUGCCUUUUUGUAUGUACUUUAUGAAUAAGGAUCGGCUAACUCCGUGCCAGCAGCCGCGGUAAUACGGAGGAUCCGAGCGUUAGCCGGAUUUAUUGGGUUUAAAGGGCGCGUAGAUGGGUUGUUAAGUCAGUUGUGAAAGGUUGCGGCUUAACCGGAAAAUUGCAAUUGAUACUGGCAGCCUUGAGUACAGUAGAGGUAGGCAGAAUUCGUGGUGUAGCGGUGAAAUGCUUAGAUAUCACGAAGAACUCCGAUUGCGAAGGCAGCCUACUA